rnacentral:misc_RNA from 1 species
AAAUCUGUAAAAGAAAGAAGAAGAGACCAAGAGUGACAGUGGGACGAGUGAGGAAGAAAUUGAAGACCAUAAAUUGAAGAAAGUUGGCGCCGUAUCAUCAGAGUCCGAAGAAGAUGAAGAUGAAGAGGUGGGAAGUGAUAAUUCACUGGCAAGUACGUCCGAUUCCGCUUCGGAUUCUGAUUCUGAUGAUGAAAUGGACGAAGUUUCUUCAGAGGAGGAAGACACUUUCAUUCAGAAAGAGGAUGUGCCUGAGAUUGACAAGGAAACUA